GGGAGGGAGGGCGCAUGCGCAUCUCCGCGGCUCAGGUGCCGGUGGUUCCCAAGGACGAGGAGAGAGCACGCAGCCUGCGUUCAGAGGACACCAAGCUGUGACCGGGCUCCACCAGGCCCUGCCCUCCAAACCCGAGUCCAGUCUGCACUCGCCCGAGAAGGAGGAUGUUUUCUUCUAAACAGACGCAGGGAGAGGACACCUUCCGGUGUCAGCUCUGGCGCGCGCAGAGUCCAGGAAGGAAAAGGGACCGUGCCCGCCCGUAACAGAAAACCUGUGACCCUCCACAGCCCCGCAGACCGCCUCCUGCACCUCACCUCGCCUCACCUCUCCAGGAGCUGCGGCGUGGGGCAGCACCGCCAGGCCCCACUCGGGCAGAGGCCAGGGCCAUAGGCCAAGGGCUCAAGGCCCUGGGUCCCCCAUGGCCUGGCCCUGCAGACGCGCUGCACAAGCCCAGCCCAAGUCCCUUCAAGGGGCGGCUCUGCCCGGCAGGCGUCCUGUGGCUCAUUCAACGCGACAGCCACGUUGAACAGCGCCUGAUGGAGUCGCCCCCCCCACCCCGACCCUGCCCAGCGUGAGUGUCCCAGCGAGGUGAUGUGGGUCUCGACGGGCCCGCCCUGCACCUGGCAGACUCGGGGGCCCCGUCCCUGACGGGCCGGCCCUGCUCCGAGGCACGGGCCCGCCCACCACGGCCUUCUGUGCAGGGCCCCCUCCCGGGUCCUCGCACAGACUCGCCCGCACCGGCCAAGCCCCAUCAAGAGCCAAACACUUGCCUUCUGCACAAAUCGGUCGCAGCCACGGCCUCAGAGAACGGGAGCUGGGUGAACUGCAAGUGGGACUGGGGACAUGCCAGCCCACCUGGGGCUCCGGCAGAGCAGCUUAGACUCCGGCAGGCCGGCCUGGGUGGCGUCUCCCUCCAACACUCCCCCUGCUACCAGUUCUUCAAGAAUUAGGAUGAUCACCCUGGCUGGUGCGGCUCAGUGGACUGAGUGCCAGCCUGCGAACCAAAGGGUCACCAGUUCAGCUCCCCAUCAGGGCAUGUGCCUGAGCUGUGGGCCAGGU